rnacentral:rRNA from 1 species
GAGUUUGAUCGUGGCUCAGGAUGAACGCUGGCGGCGUGCCUAAUACAUGCAAGUCGAGCGAACGGACGAGAAGCUUGCUUCUCUGAUGUUAGCGGCGGACGGGUGAGUAACACGUGGAUAACCUACCUAUAAGACUGGGAUAACUUCGGGAAACCGGAGCUAAUACCGGAUAAUAUUUUGAACCGCAUGGUUCAAAAGUGAAAGACGGUCUUGCUGUCACUUAUAGAUGGAUCCGCGCUGCAUUAGCUAGUUGGUAAGGUAACGGCUUACCAAGGCAACGAUGCAUAGCCGACCUGAGAGGGUGAUCGGCCACACUGGAACUGAGACACGGUCCAGGCUCCUACGGGAGGCAGCAGUAGGGAAUCUUCCGCAAUGGGCGAAAGCCUGACGGAGCAACGCCGCGUGAGUGAUGAAGGUCUUCGGAUCGUAAAACUCUGUUAUUAGGGAAGAACAUAUGUGUAAGUAACUGUGCACAUCUUGACGGUACCUAAUCAGAAAGCCACGGCUAACUACGUCG